GACGAACGCUGGCGGCGUGCCUAAUACAUGCAAGUUGAGCGCUGAAGGUUGGUACUUGUACCAACUGGAUGAGCAGCGGACGGGUGAGUAACGCGUGGGGAAUCUGCCUUUGAGCGGGGGACAACAUUUGGAAACGAAUGCUAAUACCGCAUAAAAACUUUAAACACAAGUUUUAAGUUUGAAAGAUGCAAUUGCAUCACUCAAAGAUGAUCCCGCGUUGUAUUUGCUAGUUGGUGAGGUAAAGGCUCACCAAGGCGAUGAUACAUAGCCGACCUGAGAGGGUGAUCGGCCACAUUGGGACUGGGACCCGGCCCAAGCUCCUUCGGGAGGCAGCAGUAGGGAAUCUUCGGCAAAGGAGGAAAGUCUGACCGAGCAACGCCGCGGGAGGGAAGAAGGGUCUCGGAUCGGAAAACUCUGUUGGUAGAGAAGAACGAUGGGGAGAGUGGAAAGCUCAUCAAGUGACGGUAACUACCCAGAAAGGGACGGCUAACUACGUG
rnacentral:rRNA from 1 species